rnacentral:SRP_RNA from 1 species
GCUGGGUAUGGUGGCGCAUGCCUGUAGUCCCAGCUACUCGGGAGGUUGAGGCAGGAGAAUCACUUGAGCCCAGGAGGUAGAGGUUGUAGUGAGCUGAGAUCAGGCCACUGCACUCCAGCCUGGGCAACAGAGUGAGACUCCGUCUCAA